rnacentral:tRNA from 1 species
CGGAGUGUAGCGCAGUUUGGUAGCGUAUCUGGUUUGGGACCAGAGGGUCGGGGGUUCAAGUCCCUCCACUCCGACCA